GAGCGCACUCUUUUAGAGUGAGCGGCAAACGGGUGAGUAACGCGUGGGAAUCUACCCCUCUCUACGGAAUAACACAGAGAAAUUUGUGCUAAUACCGUAUACGGUCCCUUUUGGGUAGAAAGAUUUAUCGGAGAUGGACGAGCCCGCGUUGGAUUAGCUAGUUGGUGAGGUAACGGCUCACCAAGGCGACGAUCCAUAGCUGGUCUGAGAGGAUGAUCAGCCACACUGGGACUGAGACACGGCCCAG
rnacentral:rRNA from 1 species